UACGUAGGGCGCAAGCGUUGUCCGGAAUUAUUGGGCGUAAAGAGCUCGUAGGCGGCUUGUCACGUCGGGUGUGAAAGCCCGGGGCUUAACCCCGGGUCUGCAUUCGAUACGGGCAAGCUAGAGUGUGGUAGGGGAGAUCGGAAUUCCUGGUGUAGCGGUGAAAUGCGCAGAUAUCAGGAGGAACACCGGUGGCGAAGGCGGGUCUCUGGGCCGUAACUGACGCUGAGGAGCGAAAGCGUGGGGAGCGAACAGG
rnacentral:rRNA from 1 species